GGAAUUUUGGACAAUGGGCGCAAGCCUGAUCCAGCAAUGCCGCGUGAGUGAAGAAGGCCUUCGGGUUGUAAAGCUCUUUUGUCAGGGAAGAAACGGUGGACUCUAAUACAGAUCACUAAUGACGGUACCUGAAGAAUAAGCACCGGCUAACUACGUGCCAGCAGCCGCGGUAAUACGUAGGGUGCAAGCGUUAAUCGGAAUUACUGGGCGUAAAGCGUGCGCAGGCGGUUGUGCAAGACAGAUGUGAAAUCCCCGGGCUCAACCUGGGAAUUGCAUUUGUGACUGCACGGCUAGAGUGUGUCAGAGGGGGGUAGAAUUCCACGUGUAGCAGUGAAAUGCGUAGAGAUGUGGAGGAAUACCGAUGGCGAAGGCAGCCCCCUGGGAUAACACUGACGCUCAUGCACGAAAGCGUGGGGAGCAAACAGGAUUAGAUACCCCUG
rnacentral:rRNA from 1 species